UUAAGUUAUUAAGGGCGCACGGUGGAUGCCUUGGCACUAGAAGCCGAUGAAGGACGUUACUAACGACGAUAUGCUUUGGGGAGCUGUAAGUAAGCUUUGAUCCAGAGAUUUCCGAAUGGGGAAACCCAGCAUGAGUUAUGUCAUGUUAUCGAUAUGUGAAUACAUAGCAUAUCAGAAGGCACACCCGGAGAACUGAAACAUCUUAGUACCCGGAGGAAGAGAAAGAAAAUUCGAUUCCCUUAGUAGCGGCGAGCGAAACGGGAAGAGCCCAAACCAACAAGCUUGCUUGUUGGGGUUGUAGGACACUCUGUACGGAGUUACAAAGGACGACAUUAGACGAAUCAUCUGGAAAGAUGAAUCAAAGAAGGUAAUAAUCCUGUAGUCGAAAAUGUUGUCUCUCUUGAGUGGAUCCUGAGUACGACGGAGCACGUGAAAUUCCGUCGGAAUCUGGGAGGACCAUCUCCUAAGGCUAAACACUCUCUAGUGACCGAUAGUGAACCAGUACCGUGAGGGAAAGGUGAAAAGCACCCCGGAAGGAGAGUGAAAUAGAACCUGAAACCGUGUGCUUACAAGUAGUCAGAGCCCGUUAAUGGGUGAUGGCGUGCCUUUUGUAGAAUGAACCGGCGAGUUACGAUUUGAUGCAAGGUUAAGCAGUAAAUGUGGAGCCGUAGCGAAAGCGAGUCUGAAUAGGGCGUUUAGUAUUUGGUCGUAGACCCGAAACCAGGUGAUCUACCCUUGGUCAGGUUGAAGUUCAGGUAACACUGAAUGGAGGACCGAACCGACUUACGUUGAAAAGUGAGCGGAUGAACUGAGGGUAGCGGAGAAAUUCCAAUCGAACCUGGAGAUAGCUGGUUCUCUCCGAAAUAGCUUUAGGGCUAGCCUCAAGUGAUGAUUAUUGGAGGUAGAGCACUGUUUGGACGAGGGGCCCCUCUCGGGUUACCGAAUUCAGACAAACUCCGAAUGCCAAUUAAUUUAACUUGGGAGUCAGAACAUGGGUGAUAAGGUCCGUGUUCGAAAGGGAAACAGCCCAGACCACCAGCUAAGGUCCCAAAAUAUAUGUUAAGUGGAAAAGGAUGUGGCGUUGCCCAGACAACUAGGAUGUUGGCUUAGAAGCAGCCAUCAUUUAAAGAGUGCGUAAUAGCUCACUAGUCGAGUGACACUGCGCCGAAAAUGUACCGGGGCUAAACAUAUUACCGAAGCUGUGGAUUGUCCUUUGGACAAUGGUAGGAGAGCGUUCUAAGGGCGUUGAAGCAUGAUCGUAAGGACAUGUGGAGCGCUUAGAAGUGAGAAUGCCGGUGUGAGUAGCGAAAGACGGGUGAGAAUCCCGUCCACCGAUUGACUAAGGUUUCCAGAGGAAGGCUCGUCCGCUCUGGGUUAGUCGGGUCCUAAGCUGAGGCCGACAGGCGUAGGCGAUGGAUAACAGGUUGAUAUUCCUGUACCACCUAUAAUCGUUUUAAUCGAUGGGGGGACGCAGUAGGAUAGGCGAAGCGUGCGAUUGGAUUGCACGUCUAAGCAGUAAGGCUGAGUAUUAGGCAAAUCCGGUACUCGUUAAGGCUGAGCUGUGAUGGGGAGAAGACAUUGUGUCUUCGAGUCGUUGAUUUCACACUGCCGAGAAAAGCCUCUAGAUAGAAAAUAGGUGCCCGUACCGCAAACCGACACAGGUAGUCAAGAUGAGAAUUCUAAGGUGAGCGAGCGAACUCUCGUUAAGGAACUCGGCAAAAUGACCCCGUAACUUCGGGAGAAGGGGUGCUCUUUAGGGUUAACGCCCAGAAGAGCCGCAGUGAAUAGGCCCAAGCGACUGUUUAUCAAAAACACAGGUCUCUGCUAAACCGUAAGGUGAUGUAUAGGGGCUGACGCCUGCCCGGUGCUGGAAGGUUAAGAGGAGUGGUUAGCUUCUGCGAAGCUACGAAUCGAAGCCCCAGUAAACGGCGGCCGUAACUAUAACGGUCCUAAGGUAGCGAAAUUCCUUGUCGGGUAAGUUCCGACCCGCACGAAAGGCGUAACGAUUUGGGCACUGUCUCAACGAGAGACUCGGUGAAAUCAUAGUACCUGUGAAGAUGCAGGUUACCCGCGACAGGACGGAAAGACCCCGUGGAGCUUUACUGUAGCCUGAUAUUGAAAUUCGGCACAGCUUGUACAGGAUAGGUAGGAGCCUUUGAAACGUGAGCGCUAGCUUACGUGGAGGCGCUGGUGGGAUACUACCCUAGCUGUGUUGGCUUUCUAACCCGCACCACUUAUCGUGGUGGGAGACAGUGUCAGGCGGGCAGUUUGACUGGGGCGGUCGCCUCCUAAAAGGUAACGGAGGCGCUCAAAGGUUCCCUCAGAAUGGUUGGAAAUCAUUCAUAGAGUGUAAAGGCAUAAGGGAGCUUGACUGCGAGACCUACAAGUCGAGCAGGGUCGAAAGACGGACUUAGUGAUCCGGUGGUUCCGCAUGGAAGGGCCAUCGCUCAACGGAUAAAAGCUACCCCGGGGAUAACAGGCUUAUCUCCCCCAAGAGUUCACAUCGACGGGGAGGUUUGGCACCUCGAUGUCGGCUCAUCGCAUCCUGGGGCUGUAGUCGGUCCCAAGGGUUGGGCUGUUCGCCCAUUAAAGCGGUACGCGAGCUGGGUUCAGAACGUCGUGAGACAGUUCGGUCCCUAUCCGUCGUGGGCGUAGGAAAUUUGAGAGGAGCUGUCCUUAGUACGAGAGGACCGGGAUGGACAUACCUCUGGUGUACCAGUUGUCGUGCCAACGGCAUAGCUGGGUAGCUAUGUGUGGACGGGAUAAGUGCUGAAAGCAUCUAAGCAUGAAGCCCCCCUCAAGAUGAGAUUUCCCAACUUCGGUUAUAAGAUCCCUCAAAGAUGAUGAGGUUAAUAGGUUCGAGGUGGAAGCAUGGUGACAUGUGGAGCUGACGAAUACUAAUCGAUCGAAGACUUAAUCAA
rnacentral:rRNA from 1 species